rnacentral:rRNA from 1 species
GAUGAACGCUAGCGGCAGGCCUAAUACAUGCAAGUCGAGGGGUAGAAGAGGCUUGCUUCUUUGAGACCGGCGCACGGGUGCGUAACGCGUAUGCAACCUACCUUCAUCUGGGGGAUAGCCCGGAGAAAUCCGGAUUAAUACCGCAUAAAAUCACAGGAUGGCAUUAUCCAAUGAUCAAACAUUUAUGGGAUGGAGAUGGGCAUGCGUGUCAUUAGCUAGUUGGCGGGGUAACGGCCCACCAAGGCGACGAUGACUAGGGGAUCUGAGAGGAUGGCCCCUCACACUGGUACUGAGACACGGACCAGACUCCUACGGGAGGCAGCAGUAAGGAAUAUUGGUCAAUGGAGGCAACUCUGAACCGGCCAUGCCGCGUGCAGGAAGACUGCCCUAUGGGUUGUAAACUGCUUUUAUUCGGGAAUAAACCUUAUUACGUGUAAUAAGCUGAAUGUACCGAAGGAAUAAGGAUCGGCUAACUCCGUGCCAGCAGCCGCAGUAA